AUGAUUUGGCGUCAUGAACACUCAGUUAAAGAUUGGUGGCUUAAGGCGGUUAGUGGGGGAGGUGACCACAGGAAGGCCACCGCCUCCUUGAUGAUGCUUGUCUCAUGGGAAAUUUGGAAGGAGCGCAAUGCAAGAAUUUUUCAGAAUGUCUCCGCUCUGACCUCUAUUGUUAUUGCGAAAAUCAAGGAGGAGGCUCAUCUUUGGACUUUGGCAGGAGCGAAGCAGCUUAGUAUUGUUAUGUCGCGAGAGUAG
rnacentral:rRNA from 1 species